GGUCCGAUCUAAGUGGAAGAUGUCGGGGGACAAAAUGCAAUAGGCUGGACAAAAGUGGGCUCACUGGAUACGGAUGGUUUGGACUGGAGCUGAGUCCUAAUGGCAUCUAGCUGAGACAUGAUGCCUCUCAUUGAAACUCGAAGCCCCUCAAGAUCAAAAGAAACAAAGUUUCUCGAGUCUCUGAUAUCAACUCGGAUCAACUCAAGUGAUGAUCGAAGCAUGCUAUGGAGUCUCUCAACCUCUCAAGCCAGAUCAACUAAUUGAGGUGAAGAGAUGCUCGAUGUGCUCGCUCCUGCUGACAGUGAAUCUAGUAUCAGUCUGAUCUCUCUCUCAAUAUCAAAGAUCCUGCCACUAAACCUGAGCAUGGAGCUCUCUACACUCUCCAGUCUGGAGCUCAAGUUAGACAAAAGCUGUACCAGAGAAGAAAUUGUGGUAUGAUUG
rnacentral:lncRNA from 1 species